rnacentral:lncRNA from 1 species
CUUUCAAGACUAUUCGAGGUGAGAAAGAGAAAAGAGAACUGACCGGCUUCAUCGGGCGGCCAACGAUGAUGACACUAAGUGACAUAAGCAGCAAUGGUCAUUCGACAGGAGUUAAAAAGAGAAUGAUGCCUAGCUUCAGGGAGAGAAAGAGAAGGCAAAUUGAUUGGUGGCCUUCCCAACUUGAACGGUUGACGGUGGCAGCGCUAGGCUAGUAGGCUUUUUA